UCCUUCUAGGGAAGGGCUGGGGAGGAGGGGGUGGUGACACGGUGGAGACACCGGCUAGGCCAGGGGGCCUGCCCUUGGGACAGGUCCAGACCCAUGGAGCCCCCCGGGAGGAGCAGCAGGGAAGAGGAGGAGGAGGAGGAGACUGAGGAAGAGGAAGAGGAAGACGCUCACCAGUUCUGCUGUCCGGCCUCCGAGUGCAGUAGUCCCUCCUCUCGGUAACUGAGAGGACAAGGGCCAUUUUCUAUGCAGAAGCAAAAGCCUUAACCAGCCCCUCCUUCCCCCCACCCACCCCCCCGCAGAUUCCCCCAUGGGACCCUGUCCCCUGCUUCAGGAACCAGAUGGGCAAGCAUCGUGCCCCUUCCUCCCCCCACCUUCUUCUUGGAAUUCCCAUCCCCACUGCUGUCUCCUCUGGACUCCAGCCCCUGAAUUAAAGAGAGCUGGAGCCCUAGGUCCGACUAAAAUGUGGGAGAAGCAGAGCUUGGAGCUUGGAGCUUGGAACCUGGAUCCUCCCGUACCCGCACUCCCACUUCCCAGGCACCCUGGAGCCUGCCACUACUGGAGAGGUCUCCAAAUGACAUCCCAAGGACCUACCUCUGUCCUCUGUGAGCACAAACAGAGAUGCAGGGUGCCUAGGGCUCAGAGGACCAGACGGGGGCAGGACCCAGCCUGCCUAGUUCCCUGUCGUUUGUUCCCUUGCUGUGGCCAUUGCUGCCAUCUCCUCCACUGCUUGAAGGCCUCACCCCAUGCCCUCUGCCACUCCCAUAGUGCUCUGUAAAUAUUAUCAGGAGGAAAAGGCCUCUCAGAGUGCGUGUUGCUGUGUACAAAGGAAUUUCCAUCAAUAAAAGCUGAUCUCUUCUCUC
rnacentral:lncRNA from 1 species